GGCUUUUCUCUAUCGCGAGGCAGACGUCUCAUUCUGCGUCUCCUCCUCCUCCUCCUCCUCCUCCUUCUCCUUCUUCUUCUUCGGUGUUUGGACUCUCAGAUCGCCUUCUUCCUCAACUCGUCGCGACCUCCUUCAAUUCGUGGAUUGUCGCCGCCUUCCUCUACGCCUUCUUCUUCAGCUUGUCGUGGAUUGUCGCCGCCUUCCUCUGCGCCAUCUUCUUCAGGUCGUCGUGGAUCCUCGCCGGGCCUUCCCCUGCGCCUUCUUCUUCAGCUCGUCGCUGGUGAUCUCCUUCAAUUCGUGGAUUCUCGUCACUGAAAGGUCAGUUUGAGUGCAUUUGAGUUCUUGUUUUUGGAGCUUGUGCAGUACAAUCAGACAUAGGUUGACAACAUUGUCGAGCUAGAAUGAAGGUAUGACAUCAAUGAAAGCAUAAAUGAGAUGGAGAAGCAAACUUUGGUGACAGGUUUAGUAUUUCACCCUCAUAGGGAUCGUAAGAUUGGAUUAGGAAUCAAAGAUAUAAAGGUUAUGCUCUUGGGGCUCAGGUCUGGAGCUUUUUGGUGCAUGCAAAUUAGGUAGCUGACUCACUUGAGAAAGGCACUGAACAGAAUAAGGACGGGUACAUGAUUAGUGAGAAGGAACUAAUGCAAGGUACUACAAAUGGAAGCAAGGUUGGGUUGAUGUUAAGGCCACGACUGGAUCAGGAUCUCAUAAUGCAGCCUCCUUCACGUGUCAUCACUAUGUUGCGGGAUGAUUUGUGUUAAACUUGAAGUUUUAGGAGCAUGUACCUAGUUUCUGAUUUGUUUCCUUGUUUUGCUGGGCGUGUUGGCCCCUAUUGUAUAUAAAAAUGUUACUCUAGUUGGAUUAUAAAGUAAUGUUCUGAACUACUUUAUGUAUUGUUAAAAACUUAUGAGAAUGCAUAUUCUUACCUUAUGAGAAUGCAUAUUCUUUUCCUA